AGAGUGAUGGUGAAGUGGUUAUCAUGCUUGCUUUCCAUUCCAUACAAGCUAUUUCCUUGUGGCUGAAGCAAGCGGCAGGGGCCCGAUUCCCUUUCAGUGUA
rfam:Termitomyces sp. J132 unplaced genomic scaffold scaffold52, whole genome shotgun sequence.